AUAUAUGUGUGUGUGUGUGUGUGUGUGUGUGUGUUUGUGUGUGAUUCUGUCGCCAAUGAUGCUUCUUUGACGGUGGCCUGAGGCGCUGAAACUUUGUUGGGUCUAGAGCUAUCAGGACAUUCUCCUUCAAUUUUCCCUAGUUGCCACUUCCAGUUUCGCCAUUAGAGUUUGACUGCCUUGCUCCCUGUUUCGAGGCACUCUCUCUUACAAAAAGAGUCGAAGCAGAAUGGACAAAUCCUAGGGAAUCAUGAAUAAUAACCACAAAUAUAUGUUCAGUUUGGGUAGACCCCGACGUUGGAUUUGAUGUAAACCUUAUGUAAAGCACAUUUUCAUGGAUCAUUUCAGAGUAGUUGGUGUGCCUGUA